GACGCACAAUGAUGAUUUCAUAGUUCAUCUGACAUUUCACUGAAGACUACAUUCUUUUAGUCUUUCACCCCUAACUGAUAUUUUUU